rnacentral:rRNA from 1 species
UACGAAGGGGGCUAGCGUUGCUCGGAAUCACUGGGCGUAAAGCGCACGUAGGCGGAUUGCUAAGUCAGGGGUGAAAUCCUGGAGCUCAACUCCAGAACUGCCUUUGAUACUGGAUGGCUUGAGUUCGGGAGAGGGAUGCGGAAUUCCAGGUGUAGCGGUGAAAUGCGUAGAUAUCUGGAGGAACACCGGUGGCGAAGGCGGCAUCCUGGACCGAUACUGACGCUGAGGAGCGAAAGCCAGGGGAGCAAACGGG